rnacentral:lncRNA from 1 species
UAAGGACUGGGAGUGACUCACAGGGCGGCAGUAACCAUAGCAACCACAGCAUGAGUUCCCGGUCAGCCUCCGCCCUUACGCCCAUCAGCAGAGCCUCUACUGCUCCAAAACGCUUCCAUUUCCUUCGCAGUAAAAGUCAAGAUAAGCUCCUCCCAUCCCGCUCCUCCUCCUCCCUCUUCCUCCCAGCAUUCCCUCUCUCUCAGCAGACGGCUGCGGUUUUGGUCUUCCUCCGACAUCUCGACCGGCGUCGUAACAAACCCGCCAUCCAACGGAGUUUUGUAAUGCCCCCACCUUCAUCCUCUCUAACUCCUCUUCAUCACAGACACACAGGCUGUACACACACUAACUGUUUUCCUCGUAAGUAGAGUGAAGACGAGCUUCAUGGUCAGUGUGCAACUGCGUGCUCUCGUUGUUGCUGCCGCGCUCGUCAGCCCGCCCGGCCACCUCUCUCCAAAUGUUUGUUUUUUGUGCGCGUGUUUUCUCAGCUGCUUUGCUUCCAAAGCAGGUUUCUCUGCGGUUGCCGUGGUAACCACAGCACCGCCUGUCUGCCGCAGCUCUGCUUCACACGCCGGUUCCUCGUCUGGGACGGGAAGCCGGUUGGUGCUUCCUGUCUUCUUCAGCCUUUUGGUUGGGACAGCUCCAGUUCUGCUGAAGGAUUAGAAGUUCGGGGUGUGUGUGUGUGUGUAGUAGAUUACAUGGAAGGGUUUUCGCUGUAAUUCCCAGAAAAGAUGACUGUGGAAAGAAAACGGGCAAAGAAACAGGCAUAGCAGCAUAGAAAAGUAGAACGUAAACGUAACUUUAGAUCAUGGCGACAAAAUGGAUUUUUAAAACUUUUUAAAAGUUUAAAUAGAACUGAGGAGAUGUCCUUGUUGAAGGUUUGACUCUCUGGACGAGAAAGCUGAACGUUAUUGGGAGCUAUCGGGCUUCCUGCUUUUUCCUAGUGUUAAAAAUGUUCAAAAAUACACUUUUAUAAAGAUAAAACACAGUUAAAUCUAGUGUCCUAAUGUUUGAAAGCUUUAAUUUGUUAAAAAUGUUUUCAGUGUAACUCUAAAUCUUACAUUUCUGCUUUUACACGUGACUGAAGUGGGAAAGUUCUCGACCUGAAACUGCUCAGAGCUCUCCGAGCUGCUGUGAAGCCUCCUCGACUUCAAAAAAAACUUUGAAGACUUAAAGUUUGCUUUGCUUGCUGCUGAGGCUUGCUUGAAACUCCCACAAUGCAGCAGUGAUGCUGUGGGGAAUGGGUGUCCCAGCAUUACAGCUCUGAGCCAGAAUCCCCCCCAUGCUGGUGGAGUUUGUCUGCUCUGGGUUCCUGAUGCCAGAGCGGUCCGCAGCUGAACUCUGAGGUUUCCUUGAAAGCAGGAGGUCCUCAGAAGAUCAGACGUCAUGCAGAGUCGCUGUGCUUUUCUGUCAGCUUCUGCAUUCCUCAUGUUUCUGAUCAGUGUGGUGCCUCUGUUAAAGCACUUCCGCUUUUUCCCUACUCUACAGAUUUGACUGACAGGAGCCAGAGCCUCUAUCACAGCAGCACCCCCAGGAGCAGCAAUGAGAGCGUCAACGGAGACGAAGGUAACGUCUGGGAAGACGAAUGUGUUUAAGUUUCUGUAGCACCUUAAAAUACAUCCAAACAACACAAUGCAGCUGAAACGGCUGAGAUAGCAACAUUUU